rnacentral:lncRNA from 1 species
AUUUCUUUGAAAAAUCAUAACUUCCUCAUGCGAAGUCAGAUUUGGACGUUCUUUUUGUGUACGCUCACGGUUUAAUGUUAUCUAUGACUUUCAUUUAGAUACCUAAGGCUAAAUGUUAUCGUAUUGAAACUUUGCGUUUUUCGUUUGAUCGGUGUUGUCGGUUUUGACAGAAAUCUUAGAAUGGUCAUAGCUUCUUCGCCAUAACUCAGAUUUUAGUGUUCUUUAUUUAUUUGGAACCUUUAAGACGAUAUCUACUACAUAGCGUACUCCAAAUCAGAGCUUUUGAACAAUUCAUUUAUCGAUGAUAUUCCCAUUACAUUCAAAAGGGGUUACAAGACUCGGUUUAUAAUGCCCGGGAUAACGGGUUGUUACAUCAUCCCCCCGUUAAACGGAAUUUCGUCCCGAAAUUUAAUACAAGGUAAGAGUUUUAGGGGCUGAGGAAGAGAUGCGGAUACUUCUGUAGCAUUUGGUCUUCCCGUUCCCAUGUGAAUUCGGGUCCUCUCUUAGCAUUCCAUCGAACUUUUACUAUUGGAAUGCGACUCUGCUUGGUCCUUUUAACUUCCCUAUCCAUGAUCUCGACGGGUUCUUCCACAAAGUUGAGAUUUUCGUUUAACGCGAUUUCAUCGAGUGGAAUUACAAGUGUUUCGUCGGACAAACACUUUUUCAGGUUCGACACGUGGAAUACUGGAUGCACUUUGUUAAGCUCGAUUGGAAGUUGGAGUUUGUAGGCCACUGGACCAACUCUCGAAAUGAUUUCGAAGGGUCCAAUGUACCUGGGAUUUAGCUUUCCACGCUUCCCAAAGCGUAUCAUGCCUUUCCAGGGUGAGACCUUCAGUAGCACACGGUCGCCAAUCUGGAAUUCCAAGGGUUUACGUCUCCUGUCGGCAUAGCUCUUUUGCCUAUCCCUUGAGGACUUCAGUCGUUCUCGUAUUUGCACGAUCUUUUCGGUAGUUUCUCUGAUGAUCUCUGGACCAGUAAGGGUGCUUUUAGUGACUAGACCUUUUGCCAAUUGGGUGUCGCCCACUUCCGUCCAGCACAGGGGUGAUCUGCACUUACGGCCGUAAAGGGCUUCGAACGGAGCGGUCUUGAUACUAGUAUGAUAACUAUUGUUAUAAGAGAACUCGACCAAAGGCAAGUGAAUAUCCCAUGCCUUGCCAAAGUCGAUUACACAUGCUCGCAACAUGUCUUCCAAGGUUUGGAUCGUCCUCUCACUCUGUCCGUCAGUUUGAGGGUGGUAUGCUGUACUCAUGUCCAACCUUGUUCCCAUGGAUUUUUGCAGUGAUUGCCAAAAUCUGGAAGUGAACCUGCUGUCUCUAUCUGAGAUGAUGGACAUUGGUACUCCAUGAAGUCGUACGAUCUCCCGGAUGUAGGUUCUUGAUAGUUUUUCCAUCCUAUCGGUUUCCUUGAUAGGUAAGAAAUGGGCUGACUUGGUUAAUCUGUCGACGAUUACCCAAAUAGUAUCUUGGCCACUCUGAGUUUUGGGCAGUUUGGUUAUGAAGUCCAUGGAAAUCUGCUCCCAUUUCCACUCAGGUAUUUCAGGUUGUUGGAGUAGGCCUGAGGGUUUUUGGUGUUCUAUUUUUAUUUUGGCGCAAGUUAAACACUUGCCCACAUACGUAGCGAUCUCCGCUUUCAUGUUUGGCCACCAGUAGAGUUGCUUGAGAUCUAGAUACAUCUUGUCUGACCCUGGGUGUACGGAGUAUGGGGUCCUGUGUGCCUCGCUCAUAACUACCUCUCUGAAUCCCCCAAACUUUGGUGUCCAGAUCCGGUUCAUGAGGUAGCGUGCUCCGUCACUCUUGAUUUCUAAGUUCUUGUCCAUUCCCCUAAGGGCCUCACCUGCCACGUUUUCGGGUUUCAAGGCCUCUAAUUGAGCUUCCUUGACUUGCGUUGAUAGGUGCGAAUGGAUCGACAUAGCUAAUGACUUCACUCUCCGGCCUGAGUACUCCUUUCGACUAAGGGCAUCGGCUACGACGUUUGCCUUUCCCGGAUGAUAGCGAAUAUCGCAUUCGUAAUCACUGAGUAGCUCGACCCAUCGCCGUUGUCUCAUGUUGAGCUCCUUCUGAUCGAAAAUGUGUUGUAAGCUCUUGUGGUCGGUAAAGAUAGUGCUCUUCGUUCCAUACAAGUAAUGUCUCCAGAUCUUCAGGGCAAACACUACUGCUCCUAGCUCAAGAUCGUGGGUCGUGUAGUUAACCUCAUGUGUUUUCAACUGUCUCGAGGCGUAGGCGAUGACCUUACCUCGCUGCAUCAGAACACAUCCGAGUCCUUGGUUUGAUGCAUCGCAAUAAACUACGAAGUCUUCUAUUCCUUCGGGAAGGGAUAGUAUUGGUGCGGUGCACAAGGCUCGUUUGAGCGUUUGGAACGCUCUUUCUUGUUUCUCUUCCCAGUCAAAGGCCACACCUUUCUGGGUUAGGGUUGUAAGAGGCUUCGCUAUUCGUGAGAAGUUCUGAAUGAACCUGCGGUAGUAGCCAGCGAGACCUAGAAAUUGGCGAAUUUCUGUAGGAGUCUUCGGUGCUGACCAGUUCUCAAUGGCCUUAAUUUUGGAUGGGUCCACGUGGAUUCCCUCUUCGCUUACCACGUGUCCUAAGAAUUCGACUCUUCGGAUCCAAAAUUCACAUUUCGAGAACUUCGCAUAAAGUUUCUCUUUUCGUAAUAUCCCUAGAACUUGUCGCAGAUGAUCGCCAUGUUCUUUCUUACUUCGGGAGUAGAUCAGGAUGUCGUCAAUGAAAACGAUGACGAACUGAUCCAAGUAAGGUCGGCAUACUCUAUUCAUCAGAUCCAUGAAGACUGCGGGCGCAUUGGUCAAUCCGAAUGGCAUCACCACGAACUCGUAAUGUCCGUAACGAGUUCGGAAGGCGGUCUUCGGCACAUCCUCCUCUAGCACUCGUAACUGGUGAUACCCGGAUCUCAGAUCAAUCUUAGAAAAAUAGUUCGCCCCUUGCAGUUGGUCGAAUAGAUCAUCUAUGCGCGGUAGAGGAUAACGAUUCUUGACCGUCAGUUUGUUGAGUUCUCUGUAGUCGAUGCACAUUCUGAACGAUCCAUCUUUCUUUUUCACAAACAACACGGGUGCUCCCCAUGGUGAGAAGCUCGGUCUGAUGAAUCCUUUUCCCAGUAGUUCAUUCAGUUGACUGGAUAGCUCCUGCAUCUCUGCCGGGGCUAAUCGAUAGGGUGCUUUGGCUACUGGGGUAGCUCCGGGAAUCAGAUCGAUUCUGAAUUCGACUUGUCUUACGGGUGGUAUCCCUGGAAGGUCCUCGGGAAACACAUCGGGAAAAUCGCAUACGUCGGGCACAUCCUUGAUGUCCCGGACUUCGCGUUUCACGUCUACAACAUGUGCAAGAAAUGCGUGACACUCCUUUCGUAAGUGCUUCUGAGCUUGGAUACUUGAGAUGAUUCUAAGAGUGGUACUAGGUUUGUCGCCCAAGACAAGGAAGGUUUCGCCGGUUGGCAGAUUAAGGCGAACGGCCUUAUCGUAACAUAGAAUGUCCGCACGAUGUGAACUCAGCCAAUCCAUGCCAAUGAUGACAUCGAAACUCUUAAUCGAGACUGGCAUGAGGUUGAUUUGAAAGGGAUUAUCGUUUAGAGUUAGGGUGCAGUUUAAGUAUAUCUCUUUAGUGCCUUCAGUUUUCCCGUUGGCCAUUUCUACUAUGAACGGUUCACUUAAUGAUUGUGGUAUUGGUUUUAGCAUGCUUUUAAAGUCGUGACUCACAAAACUCCUUUCCGCUCCACUAUCAAACAAAAUGCAUGCAUACGAGUUAUCGAGAAGAAACGUACCCGUAACAACAGUAGGGUCCGCAAUGGCUUCAUCUUGUCCCAUUGCGAAAACUCGGCCUCUUCCGCCGGUAUUCCUGUUGUUUGCCUUCGGGCAGUCCUUGCGGUAGUGCCCUGUGCUCCCGCACUCAAAGCAAGCGCGGCUUACUCCGGUAUUAGCAGUGGGGGCGGAUUGUUGGGUUGGCUCCUUGCAAUAGCGGGCUGUAUGACCCUUCUUAUUGCACCUGGUGCAUUGAAGGCCAUGACAGAGACCGUGAUGGUGGAAGUUGCACUGGUUACAUUUCGGUAGCUUUCCAUUGUAUGAACUUGUGGGGGCAGAGUUGGUAGGUACAGUAAUAGCGUGGGUCGCUAUCACUUGUUGUUUCUUGGGGUUCUCCUGGAGGAUUUGUCCCCUCCUCUUGUUCCAAGGCCUACUCUGUCCCUGAGCCUCCCUAGGUGGAUUUGCGGCUGUUGUGAUGGUACUCUGUUUCGCUCCGUGAUCGAUGAGUCGUUGCGCCAGGCGUUUAGCGCUGUUGUAGGUGAUAGGGUUGGAGGCUAGGACAUGCCCUUGAAUCUGGGGUGACAACCCCCAAAUGUACCUUUCGACCUUCUUUGAUUCUGGGUUGACCAUGGUAGGGCACAAAGCAGCGAGAUCGUUGAACCUAGCUGUGUAAGCGACUAGGUCAGACCCGACCAUUUUCAAAUUCCAGAGUUCCUGCUCAAGCUUUUGCACUUCACCCCUUGGGCAGUAUUCUUCCAGUAGUAGUACCUUCAGUUCUUCCCAACUCAUGGCGUUAGCGACAGUGAGCGUCACUGAGUUCACAUGGCUUUUCCACCAAGUGAGGGCUCGAUCUAUGAAGGUGCAAGCAGCGAACUUAACCUUGCUUGUUUCUUGGCACGAGCAGAUCUCGAAGACCGUUUCGGUCUUUUCGAACCAUUGCAUUAGUGCAAUGACUCCUCCUGUUCCAUUAAAAGUUUUUGGUUUAGCGUUAGAGAACUCCUUGUAGGUACAUUCUCUUCCUUGGCCAUGACCAGUGCCAUGAUUUGGAUGAUUCGUGCUGCUUCCCGCCCCUCCAUUCCCUUGAGAGUUUAUUUGCGAGAGGGCUGCGGUUACCGCUGCUGUGAUAGCAGCCUGAACCAUGGCCGGAUCAUAAGCUGGUGGUGGAGGUGGUGGUGGUGCCGUGCCCGGCCUGGGCCUUAAGUUUGGACGAGGAGGCAUCUUGCUGCCAAAAGAAAAAUAUGGAAGAAAAUUAUAAGUUUUGGCAGUUCAAAGUUGAAUGAUAUUGAGUUAACUGCCUUAAAUAGAUUAAGAAUUUGGUUUGAUCAACAAUGGGUUUUGAGCUUGAUUUAUUAAUAACGUUUGAAUGGAUGCACUUAUGAGUUGAACGGAAUACACAUAUUUAAAAUCAGAGAAGGGGGGGAUGCCCCAUAUAUAUAAAACAUAUAGUCGUGUUACAUCCGAGUUUAGACAAAACUUUUUGACCUUUCUAAAGGUCUCCGAUUACAGAAAGUUUUAACGAAAAGGAAAUUCUUAUCCGAAGUCCUAAUUUAUAACAAAAUUUGAAAUCCUGGCAGGCACUACUUGCGACGUAGGUUGCGCUUGGAGCUUGACUCCGCAUCUGAUUGCUUCGAUUCCAUUAGGCGUCGAUCAAAAGCGGCUUGUUGCUCCCUUAACUCGGCUAGGGCUGCAAUUAUCUGUGCCUGAAAUGCCUCAGACUGGAGUUGGACAUUAUCUUGUAUCUUGUCCAGUCUACGGAUAUCGGAAGUGUGAACCUGCACUUCCACGUUGAUAUCCCGGAGUCGGCUUGCUUGUACUCCGGACUGAUAGGACUGAUUGGCUAACUUACCAACCAUUACCGGGAGUGCUCGAUCAGCCGAACUGCCACCGCGGACAUCGUAGAAGUCCCGACACAUGCCGUAGGGAGGGCGUAUGCCUUGUUGUUGGCUCCAAUGAUGUAGGUGACUUCCCCAGACGGGAGUGGGUCCUUGGAAGUUCCUCACAUGGACAGGAGGUUGAAUGGGUGGUGGAUCGAUCACUUCAGGUUCUGAGUCAGUACCGGAGUCAUCACCCAAUUCUAUGGGUUCCUCAUCCUCUUCUGGAUCAUCUUCGAUCCAUCCUCCGUUGCCUUGGUUGGGAAAGUAGGGGUCAUUGGGGUGGUGAAAUCCAGCCAUUUGACUGUACGAGAAAUAGGGUCAUAAGAAUUGAAUAAAGUCGGAACAUGCAAAACAUGUAAGUUAGUUUAAAUAGCAAUUACUCCUAUAGCAUUUAAAUUAUUGUGUUUGAUUCUAAUAACGGUUUGGUAAGUUUUUAAAAUUUGUUGUCCACUGCAGACACCCCUCGGCACACGUUAGUCGGCUCUCGGACAAAUAUAGUUGAUCAGGCUAUAUCCUUCCCAGUUCCGAUUACAUGUCCCAAGGCGUACCUGUACUGCACAACUCAUUAAUAAUACUUCUAAUAUGGUACGAUGUGGAACUGUUAUUUAUUACUAAAUGAAUGCAUGCUUACUUACAAAAACUAAAUAGAUUUAAUUUCAAAAGCAUGACUCUUCUCAGAGUGUUUUUGCCCAGUUGAGUUUAUAGUUGUAUAAAAAAAAAGGUUUUGAUAUACUUAAUUCACUAUAAACGAAGCUCUGAUACCAAUCUGUCACACCCCCAAACCAGAACGGCGGAAUCGUUCGGGGGCGGAGGACGUCAUAUUCAGUAUCAUAACAGUUCAUAGAAAGGAAAGUACACACCACCAUAAUAUAAAUAUGUUUGAAAAGUUUACAUGAUUGUAGGUGUUACAUGUUUGCAAAAGAAAUCAAAUAUAAAAUGGUGAUCCAAAAUAUGUUACUAACGCCAAUGCGUUAGUCUUCAGAAGUAGUUGCUACCUGGCUAGCGGUUUCCUGUGAAUACAAGUUAUUUCAAAGAAAAAGUGUCAACAUUUAAGUUGGUGAGUUCAUAAGUAGUGUUUUGAGAAGAUGUAUGCCAUUCGAAAGUGUUUGCAUGUUUUCCAGAAAAACCCUUAUUUUCUUAUAAAAGUAUGCAAUGCAUAUGAAUGUUCGUGAUGUAAAUUGCAACUAAUUGUACCGAGAAAAUCCCUUAUUUUCCUAUUAGUUGUUUGGUUUGUAUACAGGAAAAACCCUUAUUUCCCUGACAUAACUGGCAGUCUCUAAGACCGAAAAUCGCAAGCAAGCGACGUGCUUGUAAGUUGUGUCAUAGUUUUACAUAGUAAAGCUAUACGAAGAUCGCACUUAUUAGAUGAAGAAUAGUUUUAAUGACUACUCGUUCAUAAAAGCAUAAUACCAUAAUAAUUGUAUAUCCGAUGAGUUUUAUAACCAUACUAAACAUAAUAUGCCUGUAGCGACGUUCUUCAGGCGUCGUAGCGUUAUGACAACUGUCACCCCAAAAGACGGACUGUAGCUAACAGUCAGGGCGCGGGAUCAUGACUUCCCGUAUAGAUCUAUACACAUUUGACACGUUCUCCGAACGGGAGACUCUGGUUAUAGACAGGACUUGUAGCAUUAUUUUCUAAUAAAGAAAGUAACGUUUGAAGAUAUACACGACUCAUGGAUUCUCAACUAAGUCCGUAAUAAGGUAGUAGUUUGUAUGCAAAGUUUAACCUCUUUCACAAUGUUUGACAAAGCAUAAUCAUAAGUUCUUUGAAUGCAUGAAAUGACUUAGUAAAGAAUGUUACCCUUGAUAUGAUGUGUUUGUAUGUAAACGUAUAAAUAAAACAUAUUUCUAUUUAUAAACAUAUUAUAUCCCAAAGAGGGUAAAGCUGUGUUGUGAGGGGUUUUGUAUCAUAAUAACUUCACAAGAUAGUUAAAACAACAGUAUGAAAAGUAUAUCAAAAGGUUAAUGUUUCACACGAAUUUAGUCAUGUGUUAACUUGUAUUCCUCCCCAAAAAGAGUAUAAAACAUUUAAAAUGUAUUUAAAGAGUGUUCAAAGGGGAUAUGAACUCACUUGAUAGUUUGAAGAUUGUGAGGUGGAAAACCGAGCAGAGUUUCGUCUCGGGAAACUGAUUUUUCUUGGGAUUCUCGGGAAUCUCGGGAGUAGAAUCGGCCUUCGGGACUUGAGCCAAAAAGACCAGAGCUUCGGGUUUGAACGGACACGGAAAACGAGGAAAUGCUGAGAGAGAGAGAAGAGAAAUGAACCCUUUCUUUGGAAACCCUCGCAUUCUAUUUAUAGGAAGGCAAGUCUGCCUCGGUACGCGGGGCGUACGCUCGUACGCGCUGCGUACGCGUACGUCAUGCAUGACCGAAGCCUCGACUGCCUCGGUUCGGAUGGGACGGGUUCUUGGGUUAUCGGGUCGGAUGGGACGGGUUGCUGGGGAGGUGGGUCGGAUGGGACGCCGGGUCGGAUGGGACGUCGGGUCGGACGGGUCGGACGGGUCGGCUUCCUCGGAUAUGGCGACGUGGACGAUCCGAGGCCAAUCCUCUCGGUUACGCGGGGCGUACAGGAGUACGCAGCGCGUACUUCGGAGAAGGACGCUGACUCCUCUUCGGAUAAUAUCCGAAUUUUGAAUUAAAUAAAUAAUUAAUUUAUUUAAUAAACUUCAAAAAUCCAUAUCUUCUUCAUACGAACUCCGUUUUCGAUGGUCUUUAUAUCCACGCGUAGGUGAGACUACGAUCUACAACUUUCGUUUAGACUCCGUUGGCAAAUUCCAAAAUUAUUUUUAUUAUUUAUUUUAUAACUAAUCGUUUUUAAGGAAUUUCUUUGAAAAAUCAUAACUUCCUCAUGCGAAGUCAGAUUUGGACGUUCUUUUUGUGUACGCUUACGGUUUAAUGUUAUCUAUGACUUUCAUUUAGAUACCUAAGGCUAAAUGUUAUCGUAUUGAAACUUUGCGUUUUUCGUUUGGUCGGUGUUGACGGUUUUGACAGAAAUCUUAGGAUGGUCAUAGCUUCUUCGCCAUAACUCAGAUUUUAGUGUUUCUUUAUUUAUUUGGAAUCUUUAAGACGAUAUCUACUACAUAGCGUACUCCAAAUCAGAGCUUUUGAACAAUUCAUUUAUCGAUGAUAUUCCCAUUACAUUCAAAAAGGGGGGUUACAAGACUCGGUUUAUAUUGCCCGGGAUAACGGGUU